GUCCAGGACCCGGAUUGUGCGCCCCUUCUUCCAGCCGGGAAGACCAGUUCCAGCUGAUACCACCCGCUUGCUCACCACGUCUGCGCCCUCGGCGCCUCGGCGCCACGGCCCCAGCGCCAGGAAAGGAUAGAGUCUGGUGGGAACAAAUAUAAACCAGGAAACAGCCAAAAGUCCAGUCCUUAAAGACAUGAUAUACAGAACAUCUAGAUCUACAAAGGACAGAAUUAUCCAAAUUAUACGCUGGCCAACCUGUCGGUGAACCAGAUCAGAGCUGGCCCAGGACCGGUGAACAGAGAAUGUGUUUACGGUUUGAAAAUUUGCUCUGAGGUUUAAAAAAUUUCUAGUUGCUGUUAAUAAGAAAGCAAGUAAAAAAUAUUAGAGAUGCACCACACUGGUUAUUUGAUUUUGCCAAGGUUUUCCACUAGAACAAGGUUAGAGUAUGGGGAUAAGACACUUAGAUAUUUUCAAAAUAAAUUACUUAGUAAUAAGAAAUCUGACUUAACUGCAUUCUUCCAUUUGCCACAAGAACAUAUUGACAAUGAGGACUAUUUAAAAGAAUGCUCAACUCUAAAAAGGGUGGUGGCAGCAACACAUUCCACUACAGAAUAACCUCCCACUUUCCCAUACAAUUAACAUGGCUACUUUUCACGAUACAUAUUCACGUGGAAAAACUUGUCAGGAGCUCUUGCCAGGGCCAGGAGAUGAAAAAUAGAGACUGUCCUGAUGACAUGGAUAGCUGUAAGCUCAGUUAACGUCUUUAGGAUGGACCCAUAAAAUCUGGCCACUGUUUUGUUGAAUAUCUGCAAAUCGCAGAACUCCUUAGCCCUUAGCCAUAGUAUCUGCUCAAUGUCUUAAAGCUGGGCUCAGUCCCAUCUGGGACUCUUUUCUUCAGGGCUGAGGUGCGUGCUAGUCAUCAAAGUCUGGCAUGUCAUCCUAGGAGUGUCCCCAGUAGCCUUUGGGUGCAUAGCAGGCGAUGCGCAGGUGGUAAAAUCCCGGCAGGGACACCAGGAUGCCAAUGAUCAGGACAGGAACAGCCCGGUCUACCCCCUCAUAGGAACUCUGGGAGAAGUUUGUUGAAGCUCAAAGGAAGAAACAUGUCUUGUUAUCUGAGAACAAAAUCCCUUUGCUGAUAUAGUCUGCCAGCAGGAGGGAGCCUAUGAUAAUGAGAAAGGCACCAAUCAAAAACAACACUGUAGGGCUUCCCUGGUGGCGCAGUGGUUGAGAAUCUGCCUACCAAUGCAGCGGACACGGGUUCGAGCCCUGGUUUGGGAAGAUCCCACAUCCCGCGGAGCAACUGGGCCCGUGCGCCAUAACUACUGAGCCUGUGUGUCUGGAGCCUGUGCUCCGCAACAAGAGGCCGCGACAGUGAGAGGCCCGCGCACCGCGAUGAAGAGUGGCCCCCGCUCACCGCAGCUAGAGAAAGCCCUCGCACAGAAACCAAGACCCAACACAGCCAAAAAUAAAUUAAUUAAUUAAUUAUAAAAAAAAAACAAAAACAAAACAGCAACGUAGCAAGUACAAUGGCCUUAUAUGGAAUCUUAGGAGGGCCUUUCUUAAACUUUAAUAAAUUGGAUCUCAUGACAUCAGGAAAGAAGGAAGAUUCCCACAAAUCUGUCGGCUUUAGCAGUUAGUUCCUCCCUGAAGGUCAAUGUAGCCAUCGUCUGUACUGGAGAACCUUGAGUAUUUCACUUUACUACUGGGGAUUUCGGUAGCCAGGUUGGUACGAGAUUGCAUCAUAACACGCUGACACAGCUACAGUCGGAGCCCCGCCAGGCCAUCUGCGCGCCACAGCUAGCUCACGGUUUGCAGCGGGCGAGCCGAGGCCUCAUGGCACGCCUCCCACAACUGCCUCCCCGCCCCCGACCCCAGAGAUUUUUAAUUAAUUAAAACAAUUAGAUUAACAAGUCUCCCUUCCAUGAAUCAUGGCCUUUGGUGUUAUAUCCAAAAAGUCAUCAUGUCAAAGGUAAUCUAGCUUUUUUCCUAUGUUAUCUUCUAGGAGUUUUAUAGUUUUGAAUUUUACAGUUAGCUCUAAGAUGCAUUUUGAGUUAAUUUUUUGUGAAGGGUAUAAGGUUCAUUUUUUGGCAUGUGGAUGUCCAGUUGUUCCAGCGCCAUUUGUUGAAAAGACUCUCUGUGUUCUAAUGUAUUACCUUUGCUUCUUCAUUAAAGAUCAGCUGAUUAUAUU